GAUGAACGCUGGCGGCGUGCCUAAUACAUGCCAGUAGAACGCUGAAGGAAGGAGCUUGCUCUUUCCGGAUGAGUUGCGAACGGGUGAGUAACGCGUAGGUAACCUGCCUGGUAGCGGGGGAUAACUAUUGGAAACGAUAGCUAAUACCGCAUAACAGUAGAUGUUGCAUGAUAUCUACUUAAAAGGUGCAAUUGCACCACUACCAGAUGGACCUGCGUUGUAUUAGCUAGUUGGUGAGGUAACGGCUCACCAAGGCGACGAUACAUAGCCGACCUGAGAGGGUGAUCGGCCACACUGGGACUGAGACACGGCCCAGACUCCUACGGGAGGCAGCAGUAGGGAAUCUUCGGCAAUGGACGGAAGUCUGACCGAGCAACGCCGCGUGAGUGAAGAAGGGUUUCGGAUCGUAAAGCUCUGUUGUAAGAGAAGAACGAGUGUGAGAGUGGAAAGUUCACACUGUGGCGGUAUCUUACCAGAAAGGGACGGCUAACUACGUG
rnacentral:rRNA from 1 species